rnacentral:rRNA from 1 species
GAUGAACGCUGGCGGCGUGCCUAAUACAUGCAAGUCGAGCGAACAGAUGAGGAGCUUGCUCCUCUGACGUUAUCGGCGGACGGGUGUGUAACACGUGGAUAACCUCCCUAUAAGACUGGGAUAACUUCGGGAAACCGGAGCUAAUACCGGGUAAUCUAUUGAACCGCAUUGUUCAAUAAUGAAAGACGGUUUUGCUGUUACUUAUAGAUGGAUCCGCGCCGCAUUAGCUUGUUGGUAAGGUAACGGCUUAACAAGGCAACGAUUCGUAGCCGACCUGAGAGGGUGAUCGGCCACUCUGAAACUGAGACACGGCCCAGACUCCUACGGGAGGCAGGAGUAGGGAAUCUUGCGAUGUGGGCGAAAGCGUGACGGAGAAACGGCGCGUGAGUGAUGAAGGUCUUCGGCUCGUAAAACUCUGUUAUGAGGGAAGAACAAAUGUGUAAGUAACUAUGAACGUCUUGACGGUACCUAAGCAGAAGGCCACGGCAAACUACGG